GACGAACGCUGGCGGCAUGCCUAACACAUGCAAGUCGAACGGAGAUAUUCAGGAAGUUUACUUUCUGAGUAUUUUAGUGGCGGACGGGUGAGUAACACGUGGGUAAUCUGCCUAUCACAUUGGGAUAACAGGGUGAAAACGCUGCUAAUACCGAAUAAGCCGACAGGGAUGGGAGUUCCAGUCGGAAAAGGAGCAAUCCGGUGAUAGAUGAGCCCGCGGCUGAUUAGCUAGUUGGUGAGGUAACGGCCCACCAAGGCGACGAUCAGUAGCCGGCCUGAGAGGGUGAACGGCCACACUGGAACUGAGAAACGGUCCAGACUCCUACGGGAGGCAG
rnacentral:rRNA from 1 species